UGUGUGCGUGGGGAGGUGGAUGUGCCACGCGUGACCGCGGAGCUGCGUGGGCUCCAUCCCUGUCCACCUUCCCUCCCCCUCUUCACCACCAUCACUUCUGCUGAAAAACACCCGGGGAGGGUGGGAAAAGGCCCCGGGAGGGCCGUGGAAGGGGCCUGAGGGUAGCGCGGAGGUUCCGCGGGAGGCGGAGGGGAGCGGAGGGAAGGCUCUGCCCGACCGCGGCCUCCGCGCAGCGCGGAGCUUCACCCACUUUAAACCCCCUCUUCGUGCGCUCUUUUAAGCUCGGCGGGCCCGGGCAGGAUGUUUAUACUGCGCAAUGUAAACACGGGCUCGGGGGUGCUUUAAUAAAAAGAAAUCGGCGAAAAACUCUUGCUGCCUCUCGAAAUGCCCUUUUCUGCCUCCGCCGCCGGUCCCGGGGCUGGGAACGGGCUUCGGACCCCUCGCCUGCUCCGGGGAUGAGGGGUGGGUUGGUUUCUUUUGCGGGGGUGGUGUAUCAAUCUGUGCUGAAGGGUUGCAGUUGAAUGCCAGGAGGCUGAUGCUCAGCUCCGGCGGAUGCCACGGGCACACGCGAGGGGUGGGGGAGAAAGAGAAUAGGAAUGCAGGGGGGCAGAGAUCCCCUUUCCACCAAAAAAAAACCCCCCAAAAAAACCCCAACCAAACCUUACAAACCCCUUUUGAGCAUCGGCCCAUCAGGAGAGCUGUCACUCAAGGUUUCUGGCCAGCAACACCAAUGACUGUCACGGCCAAAACGUUAAUUUGGAGAUGUCAUGCACAGGGGCUAUAACCGUGCACAAGCUGCAUGGUGAGGAGGGAGGACAUCCCCGACCACGCUGCAGGACUGAGCUGUGGGCUAGACAUAGGACAACCCUCAUCUCAAGGAGAAAUAAAUUCUGUUCUUUGUUUUUCACCAUCUCUGCUGACUUACAUGAAGCAAUUGAGCUCCAACAGUGGCCUGAGCACUAGGUAGGAAUUAUUAACACCAAAGUGGAAACUUGGACAAGGUGUCAUUAUUGUUCUGCAACGUUUUUGGAAAGUUACUUGCAAUAAAAUACUUGAAAAUUUUGCAGCCAA